UGACCUCCUCUGCUCAUAUAGAUCAUAAUCCUGUUAGACAAAAAUUAGUAGCUUUGACAGUUGUCUUAAUUAAUUAAUCAACCAGGAAAGGGUUUUAAAAUAAUUGUGUAUACUGACUGACCUUACUAUUAAUUCUAGGCGCACGGUUGUCGGACCUCCUCUGACAGCAGUAUACAUUGUGAGUUGCAUGCCCUCUUCUCUUCAUACACCCUUGGUAGAACCUCGCUAAUCCAAACCAGAUCCCAUCCGGAUGUCAUUAAUAAUAAUUAUUGAUUAUGAAUAUCACAAAGACAUUUUUGACAAAAGUUUUGUACAUGUAUUAUGAUAUUACUGUGGCCAUAAAGACAGGGAAUAGUCUUUUAUCUCAACUUUCUCUCCAAUACAGUGAGUCUUGUGAGCUCUCUCUUGCUUCGUUUUUCUUUGCAGUGGCCGCGGCCAUUGUUUCCAUUGAUGUGAUAUGCGCGAUCAGAGGAGGCUGGACACGCGUCAUCCGUAUAGUCAUCCGUUAGUCAUUAAUUAAUAGUCAUCAAUAUAAUUCUAUGAAUACGCUUAAAAUCGUCGAUCCUGCAGCAUUUUACCUAACUCUUCCUCUUGCUCGUUUAUCUCUCUUGUAUUAUAUCUCCUGUUAGUUAAUGAGUCGUAGUAGUUUAACACUAUGAUCGCUAUACCUGUACAUCUGUUUUGCAACCCCUAGCUUGAUGUAAGCUUAAACAAGCCAGUUAAAGCAAUUCUUCGUGAAUCAUGGAACAACUAUAUGCUUGAGCAGUCAGAUUCUCCCAUCGAUAAAAUUAAAACCAUAUAUAAACAAAUGGUUUUAGAUUGGAUUGAAAAUGCAAACUCCACUCUUAAUUCGAAACAAGUAUCAUUACGAAAUCUUUUUUAGUUACAGGCCUAUCCAAUGCUCUUGGUGAACAUGAAAACGACCUCAUCCGAAAUGAAACAGUCCGAAAAGAAAUUGAAGAAAUUAUCAGCGAGGUUUUUGGAGAAGAAACAAUGGGAUUUCAGGCAAGUUCCAACCAGGAUUCAGAUCCAUUUUCAAGCGACUCAGAAGCAUCUUCAAUUGCUGGAACUGAUCAAGAGCUAUUUUCUGAUAGAGAGAUUAACGUGAGCGAAUAUUCCGAUGAAGCAAUCACUUCACCCGAGUUUGAAUUGAUCACUGAAGAUGAAAACUGAGACCCAAGGCCUUAUUGUACUUGAACGUAGCAUUACCUCCUACAAUUAUAGCUCUUAUAAUGGUAACGUGCAUCGAUCACACUAUAAUGAAUGAUCAUGCUGUUUUAAUAGACAAGUACAUGACACCAAAGAAUCAAUCAUUAUAAUCAUUUUACAUAAACGGGAGGGGUAAAUAAAAAUGUUUUACUGUCAAUUUAUUAAUUGAAGUACUAUUGGUUUAUACUUCAUAUCCAUCAGCAGUGAGUUCAACUUUUUAAUGUCCUUUUUUCCCCCCUGAAACUUGUAAAUACAAGGUAUCUCAAGUCCACCUUCCGGUAAAAACGAACGCUGCCUCCUUCCAGUUACAACGCAGGUUAUUGUCCCACCCCUACCAAUGAAAUGCCAGCAUAUUUGAGAAAUUUCUUUGGGAACAUGCCCCACAGUUUCUCAUUGGGGGUUUGGCAAUAGCAACUGCAUAGGGGUUGCCGUGCUCCUGCUGAGUUGGUAACUCUUCAUUUAUUGUAGGAGACUAUACAUUUUUGUACACAUGGAAACCACGAACAACACUUCAGUAGCAUUCAGUUGCUUGAUCCAUAGUAAACAAACUUGCAAUAAUGCAGCUGAGCAGUGUAUACGUAUAACAAGACCACACCCAUUAUAAUUUAGGCGCCAGCUUGGGCUGAACGCAAUUUUUUUGUGUUCUACGCCACUCAGAAGUGGUUUCUGGCGCUGUAAUUACAUCAUUUACGGUACUGUUCUGUGUGUCCCAAUAUGUAGAGGUUAUAAAGAAAGAAAAGAUGAAUCGUUCUAGGUCGCGAUAAUUAGCUAAUUAGAGCUAAAGGUUAAUCGUGUCCUCCCUCCUGUGGUACUGGUACUGCAUGAUGUAGAACAACGUACACAAUGUGUAGCCUGUAAGUUUUAACUGUCUAGCACAGCAACUCAGGAGCAGUAAAAAAAAACUAAACUAGACUGGAGCUAGACAUGCUGAAACAUGUGAGAACAGGUACGUAGUUGGUACUAUACUGUGACAUGUUGAAAAUCGAAUGGCUCAAGGUCCUGCAUGGAGUAGGAUCCCAGAGUCAGCUAACAGAGACUAUAGGCAUACAACAAUAAAUUGAAGCAAUUAAUAAGCUUUAAUUAGUGAACCUGUUCCAUUAUGCUAGAUUGUUCCUGGUAGAUCUAUAUACAGGAUCACUUCAGUUAAAUAACCCAUGAUUUUGCUCGCUUUUUAACACCGAAAAAGCUGCAUGUUAAUGUAUUAUAGAAACAAACUUCAAAAGGUGGUCCUCCGUCUCCAACUAUCACUGAAGCUGAUUGUGACGUAGCCUCAAUUCGAGGCUAAUUCUGACACUGCUGUUACCGAUGGUUACACCUAGUAAAGAUACUUCGCCCACAUGCACAAUAGAUCCAGCAACCCCUGACGAAGGGGUGAUAAUCAUUGGGAAUGAAAUACCCAAUCCGUUCCCGUUCCCCACCCACUAUCGCUCGGACAUUGAAGCAGGACUGCACCUGAAGUGCAUGGAUUCUGUAGUCCAGGCUAAAUUUCUAACGAGGAUUGCCGGUGUCAUGUAUAUACAUGUACAAGAGAAAUCCAGAUGUCGAUGACUAUAAUUAUAGAAGUGUUGCUACUCAGGUAGUGAACCGCUACCCCUUCCUGUCGUCACCACUGGAAGGCAUGGGCCAUAUCGUGAAAACUCUGAGAAAUAGAAUGAGGGAAAAGAGGAGGCAGAAAAAAAACAGAAGGAACAACGCCGAUAAAGAUAGAGCACAUCAGUGCAUUUGAAAAACAAAAAAAGAAGACGAAAGAUCAAAUUCAAUGUUCCUGGAGGGGACGACGAAGGCUCUUAUAUCCGCCACUGCAAAUUUCUCUGUGGAGAAAACAAAAAAGAUCACCGAAUAUGGUUUCAGUAAUAGAACUAAUGUGCCUAAUGAGAUAUCUGAGCAUCCGAUGCACGUUUCUGCGAUCUUGGAAAAGUUCCCCUUUCUUGGGAACAAGGAAAUUCUGAUUGCCGAACUCUGGAGGAACCUAAGAAAAGAAAGCAGCCCCUCAGAUGCUGAGCUUUGGAACAAUUCGUUCAAUAAAUCUUGGAAUGUGCAAGACAUCGAGUACCAGUAGCAUCCACAAAUUGUUGUGGAAAUUGGACAGUUGGCAGGUAUAUAUUAUUUUUAAUGUAUAAUAAUAGGCGCAUUUUUAUGCCUCGGUGCGCAUGCGCAAGCGAGGUAUACGGUAGUGUGUUUGUGUGUGUGUGUGUGUGUAGACUGCUACAGCUGCUCAAGGAUGAAUCAAGUGCAAGUAAGAGUUUCUAUAGGCUUCUAGUCAUGUUUACUUGGAUUUUAAUUCGUGGAUUUGCAAAAUAAUGCGAGUUAUGCCUAUAUAGUUUAGCUAUUGGUAGCUAUUGGUAGCUGCAAGGCUCUGCUAAUGCGGCCAUUACUUUUAGACUUGAACUUUUGGCAUCGAUCGUUUUUAACAAUAAUCAUGGACCCACUCUGAGUUUUUGCAUGCAGCAAAAUUAUCAUGUGCAUAAAAGCAGUUUAAGCUAUUAGUAGCUUUAUGUUAUGUAGCUUUGGCAUCUCCACCGAGGCAUCAGCACCUGCGGUGCUUCAUAAAAUAGGUGCUCCUAAGUAUUGCCGACCUUAUGACAAUAAAAUCACUCGACCCAAUUUUGAAAACCCUAAUGUCAUUAUACUUAUGUUUCGCGGACUGACCACAAUAUAGACCUUGGAACAUAUCAAAGUACGUGCUUGAUGAAGAUUACAAAAGAAUUCUCUUUUAUUAUAGAUCGACUGACUGCAUGAUCAUGACUCACAUUAGUUGGGCGUGGUUUGUUUUACAUGCAGGCUUCACUGAGCAUGGCAGCAGCAGCAAACGAUUGCAAGUCAUCCUUCUUUGCUCGUGAAAACUAAUGAGAAUGGGGUUGUCAACAAAGUCUUUGAUUUGUGAAAAGACAAUCAUAUCCCCAAUAGAGAGGCCCCAAUUGUCCUAGCAGCGUUUUAUUCAUUUGAACUACCUAAAAGGGAUUGCAAUCCAUGUUUACUCUAUUGGAAACACUCCUUUGUGGUUUGAAGCCUAAAAAAAUACCCACCAUCGUAUCCAACAUGCUUGUAAGGAUGAAGAAGUAGACCGACUAUAUAAUGAACUCAGGAUAUGACCUAUAGCUGUAUGCUAUAAUAAUGUAUAACCAUUGUGUUUUACUUAUGAUUGUUGUGUAUUAAUUUGUGCAAAAUACUAUUGUCAUGCAUUGAAGUGAUAAUAAUUAUUUAUUGAAUAUUUUACAUG